CUAUCAUCAGACUGAAAUGGCACUUAUAACUCAUAUAUAUGCAAAGUUCUCAUCAAUAGAAACGAAUUAAGUUCAAACAGCAGGUAAUUGCUAUAAAUCGUUAAAGAGUUCCCUCGACUAACUUUUGUCUCCAUCAUCAGACUGUAAUGGCACUUAUAACUCAUACAGGUGCAAAGUUCUCAUCAAUAGAAACGAAUUAAGUUCAAAAAGCACGUAAUUGCUAUAAAUCGUUGAAGAGUUCCCUCGACUAUCUUUCUUCUCCAUCAUCAGAUCGACUCCAGACCUUUAUUAAAUAGUAGUGCUUUAUAGUACUUAAUAAAAACAUGAUUAAAUUUACUAGUCACCCUUACGAUUUUUGAAAGUUUCCCUCGAUUUCUCUGGGAUCCCAUCAUCAGAUCCUGGUUUCCUUAUCAUGGUACCAAACUAUGAAUAUCUCCUUUCCAACAAAAAAAGAAUUAUCAAAAUCGGUUCAUAAACGAAGAAGUUAUCUCCGAACAUACAUAAAAAAAAUAUAUAUAUAUACGGUCGAAUUGAGUAACCUCCUCCUUUUUUUGAAGUCGGUUAAAAA
rnacentral:misc_RNA from 1 species